rnacentral:rRNA from 1 species
CCUACGGGGAGCAGCAGUAAGGGAUAUUGGUCAAUGGGGGAAACCCUGAACCAGCAACGCCGCAUGAGGGAAGACGGUUUUCGGAUUGUAAACCUCUGUCCUCUGUGAAGAGAAUGACGGUACCUGACUAAGAAGCCCCGGCUAACUACGUGCCAGCAGCCGCGGUAAUACGUAGGGGGCGAGCGUUAUCCGGAUUUACUGGGUGUAAAGGGAGCGUAGACGGUUCUGCAAGUCUGAAGUGAAAGCCCGUGGCUUAACCGCGGAACGGCUUUGGAAACUGUGGAACUGGAGUGCUGGAGAGGCAAGCGGAAUUCCUAGUGUAGCGGUGAAAUGCGUAGAUAUUAGGAGGAACACCAGUGGCGAAGGCGGCUUGCUGGACAGUAACUGACGUUGAGGCUCGAAAGCGUGGGGAGCAAACAGGAUUAGAUACCCCAGUAGUC